UUCUGACUCCUAGGCCUGCAUCAAGUUGCUAGCUGUACAAUCCUGCUAUCAGCGUUCCCGGUCAUCUUUUCUUAUCGUAGUUUUGGAUGCCAUCCUCAAGUGGCCAUUGUAUAAAAUCUGAAUCCAAAUGAUCUUAUUUUCUAUUUAGAAUGUUUUUCUUAGAAAGAACUAGACGCAGAGCAUUAUUCUACUCCUUGGCUGAGCCUCAGUUCUACAAAUUUCUAUGCUGGAACAAAUUACUCCCUCCGUAAACUAAUAUAAGAGCGUUUAGAUCACUACUUUAGUAAUCUAAACGCUCUUAUAUUAGUUUACAGAGGGAGUACUAUGUAGCCUGCUGGAGCAAAUUCUAGAGAGGGAUUUUCCUUGGCUGGGCCUCAGUUCUACAAAUUAUAUGCUUUGUUUUAUGACUAGUUUUUGCGGUCUGUCUGUUGUUAUGUCCUUGGCUGCCAAAUCUAUAUGACAAUGACACUGUUGAUAUCCAACCAGUUUAAAUGUAGAAGCUUAGACAUUUUUGUUUGGCGUACAAACAACCGGAAGCUAUAUUUUACUCCAUCUGUAUCAAAAUUUAAGAUGUUUUUUGACACUACAAAAGAAGGGUCUUAUAUUUUGAAAUGGAGGGAG
rnacentral:lncRNA from 1 species